rnacentral:rRNA from 1 species
GUAGGGCCCGAGCGUUGUCCGGAUUUACUGGGCGUAAAGAGCGCGUAGGCGGCUCGUUAAGUGUGGUGUGAAAUCUCCAGGGCUCAACCCGGAAACUGCACCGCAUACUGGCGAGCUUGAGGAAUGCAGAGGUAACUGGAAUUCCUGGUGUAGCGGUGAAAUGCGUUGAUAUCAGGAGGAACACCCAUGGCGAAGGCAGGUUACUGGGCAUUAUCUGACGCUGAGGCGCGAAAGCGUGGGUAGCAAACAGGAUUAGAUACCCUGGUAGUCCACGCCCUAAACGAUGGAUACUAGACGUAAGAGGUAUCGACCCCUCUUGUGUCGCAGCUAACGCACUAAGUAUCCCGCCUGGGGAGUACGGCCGCAAGGUUG